rnacentral:rRNA from 1 species
GACGAACGCUGGCGGCGUGCUUAACACAUGCAAGUCGAACGGAAAGGCCCUGCUUGCAGGGUACUCGAGUGGCGAACGGGUGAGUAACACGUGGGUGAUCUGCCCUGCACUUCGGGAUAAGCCUGGGAAACUGGGUCUAAUACCGGAUAGGACCAUCGUUUAGUGUCGGUGGUGGAAAGUUUUUCGGUGCAGGAUGAGCUCGCGGCCUAUCAGCUUGUUGGUGGGGUAAUGGCCUACCAAGGCGUCGACGGGUAGCCAGCCUGAGAGGGUGGACGGCCACAUUGGGACUGAGACACGGCCCAGACUCCUACGGGAGGCAGCAGUGGGGAAUAUUGCACAAUGGGCGCAAGCCUGAUGCAGCGACGCCGCGUGGGGGAUGAAGGCCUUCGGGUUGUAAACUCCUUUCAACCAUGACGAAGCAUUUUGUGACGGUAGUGGUAGAAGAAGCACCGGCUAACUACGUGCCAGCCGCCGCGGUAA